CAGGUGGCGACACCGCGCGGAACCCGAAAGCCGUUCUCAGUUCGGAUCGGAGUCUGNAACCCGACUCCGUGAAGCUGGAUUCGCUAGUAAUCGCGCAUCAGCCAUGGCGCGGUGAAUACGUUCCCGGGCCUUGUACACACCGCCCGUCAAGCCAUGGGAGCCGGGGGUGCUUGAAGUGCGUCGCCGCAAGGCGCGCCCUAGAGCAAAACCGGUGACUGGGGCUAAGUCGUAACAAGGUAUC
rnacentral:rRNA from 1 species